UAAUUUUGAUUCUUUAAUUAUAUAUAAAGAUAUGAAAGUAUAAAAAAACAAUUUAUACUGGCAAGUUAAAUUAAAAAUAGGAAUUUAUAUUUAUUUUUAGAAUUUAAAAUUAUAUUUUAAAAUUUAAAAAUAAAUUUAAAUCUGAGUUGAACUUACAAUUAAAAUAUAAGACACAAAUUAAAUUUACAAUUUGAAUUUCAAUUUUAACUUAUAACUCAUAAUUGAAAUUAAAUUUUAAAAUAAAAAUAAACACAAAAAUUAGAAUAUUAUUCAAAUUUGAAUUCAUAAUUUGAAUUUAUAAUUUGAAUCAUAUUUUAAUUUACUCUUUGUGUCACGUCUCGGAUUUCACGUUCCCCGGGUACGCCGACAAAUUCGCCGUAUAUAAAGAAAUUUUUUCCUGUAUACGAAGCGAUAGCUGUACCUGUAAAACAUACAAUACUACAAAUAGUAGUAUAGAGCUGCUAGAAGAACCAGUAACUAAAAACAAACUGAGUUCCAUAUGCAUACAUCAAAUCCAAGAUACAAAACUACUCGCACUGGCGAGUUAAAUAACUGUAUGUACAUGAACUCCAACAAAAAACAACUAUCUGCUGUAGGGCACCUCUAGCUCGGCUCGUCGGGUAGGGCUCUAACUCGCAACGCCCUUGCCUCGAUCCUGAUCAGCAACAGCAGCAGCCGAAGACGAUGGCUCUGCAAAAACGGGGUAACAACAGGGCGUGAGAACUACUGUAAAAACAAGUAGUCCUCAGUGGGUGCCGCCCUUAACAUCAUCGGUCCACCCACUAAGUCUACAGAAGGGAGCAAAGGUAGUAAUAAAUGCUGGAAUAAAAUCUACAGCUACCAUUUAUUACACUAUCAUGCUAUAAGCUGACCUACUGUAAUAAUGUGAAUCCCGACCCAAUCUCUUUAGGGACUGUAAACAUACUAUCCCAGGGACUGUGAACACACCCGUCCCGCCCAGUUGAGACUAUCCAGCUACCUCCACACUAUCCAGUCCGUGGAGAGCAAGUCUAACCGGCAUGCACGUCACCAACGCAAAAGCACAGCGCCCGUCUCCGGAGUGGCACUCGUGGGAGCUACCCAACCGAGUAUGCAGCGUAUCUCUGUCGAGCUCAAACAGGCUCUCUAACUCAAGCCGAAGUCCAGUAACAACUCUGACUAGUCUAAAUACAACAAACAACGUGCCCUCGGUACAAUCCGACGCCAAAAAGGCGAUAUGGGUCCACCGUCAACCCCGACGGCACCCAACAGUCCGGAACAGCCUAAACGCUACUGUAAAAAUACACUCGGCAUUCCAGCACGAGCGUAACUGAAAGCUAAACUACCUCAGAUAUCCGUCGCCUCGAUACUGCGAUGAUACAGAUUUAUAACGGCUCCUAGAGCUAAAUCAGGUAGUGUGAACAGGUGACAGGUCCAACUCACUGGUUUUCUCCUAAGUCAAUU
rnacentral:lncRNA from 1 species